GUUAGCGUAGCUUAAUUAAAGUAUGACACUGAAGAUGUUAAGAUGGCCCCUAGUAAGGUCCCGCAAACA
rnacentral:tRNA from 1 species